CAGAGGGUGCAAGCGUUAAUCGGAAUUACUGGGCGUAAAGCGUGCGUUGACGGUUAUUUAAGUCAGGUGUGAAAGCCCCGGGCUCAACCUGGGAAUUGCAUUUGAGACUGAAUAGCUAGGGUGCGGAAGAGGGAAGCGGAAUUUCCGGUGUAGCGGUGAAAUGCGUAGAUAUCGGAAGGAACACCAGUGGCGAAAGCGGCUUCCUGGUCCAGCACCGACGUUCAGGCACGAAAGCGUGGGGAGCAAACAGGAUUAGAUACCCUGGUAGUCCACGCCAUAAACGAUGAGAACUAGACGUUGAGAGGGUAAGCCUCCCAGUGUCGAAGCUAACGCGAUAAGUUCUCCGCCUGGGGAGUACGGCCGCAAGGUUG
rnacentral:rRNA from 1 species